CGGGGUGUGAAAAUUAGUCGGUCCACUAAUUUAACCCUGCAUCGGCCGCCAAGGUUGUUUAACCCUCCUCAUCUCCCACUCCGUGCGCCUCGCGGCCGCCUCGCAUCCAAAUCUUCUCCGUCUUCACAUCGAGGGUCCUCCAACCUAUACUCGCAUGCUGCCGUCUUGAUCUGUCAAAGACGUUGUGUCGCCCUUCUCUCCAAGCAGCUCUCAGCGCCACAAAGCUCUUAAUCCUCAUCCCAUACAGACACGGCGUGGAUCUCCAGAGACGGCGCACCGGCGAUGCGGAUCUCAGCGAGGAAGGCGGCAGCGAGGUGGCGACAACAUUCAUGGAGUCCCAAUAACUCAUGGGUGAUUCAGAUCUCCAUCAGAUCUUUUGCAGUGAAAUACGGAAACAAGUUGAAGUUUCUGACUUCUCUGGUUCAGAUAAGACGACAACAGUUGAAAAGGAUUGAUGGUUUGGUGGCAAGUUUCAAGAGGUGACAAGGAUCAUAGUUACAAUACCAUAAUCGAAUGAGUUGUGUGGACUCGACAAUUCUGUGUGGCAAAUGAAGCCAUUAUUCGCUAGAAAAUGUAGAAGAUAUUGUUGUAUACGUUGAAGGCUAGAUGUCAAGGAAGAUGUAUACUAUGAUUAGAAACAGUUUAUGUUAAUUUUCGUUUAGAUUUGGCUCUGUUGUCAAUAAUGUCCUUUGUUUCCUUUACUUACAUCAAUGUGCCAUUUUGAACCAAUAAUGUUGGUGUUUAUUUAUUGUAAUGCAUAUGUAUCCUAUACUCUUGUAUAUUUGUAAUAAAUAUCUUAAUAUA